CUUUACUCUAUGAGUUGAAGCCAAAGAAAUAUUCUAAAUAAUUAAAGGAGAGGGACUCAGAACGAAGGAAAGGGAAUACUACUAAUGCUUGCUUCAAUCACUUUCUUUAUCUUGUAGUCGACUGCAAUUGAAAGAUUCGUUCCUAUUUUAGGAUUGAGGUAGUGUCUGCCCACUAAUGUGAAGAUUGGGUGGGGGAGAGGUGAUUUCGACAAAAGAUAAUUUCUUUUUUAUUUAUUUAUUGAGUUCCAAGCUUAAGAGCCGAAUUAGCCAUUAGGA